CGGAUUUUCGAGAGUUUCCCUCGAUUCCUCUGGGAUCCCAUCAUCAGAUCCUAAUCCUGGUUUCCUUAUCAUGGUACCACACUUGUAUCUCCUUUCCAA